AUGCACGCUGGCUACAGGCUUAACACAUGCAAGUCGCGGGGAAACGACGGGGAAGCUUGCUUCCCCGGGCGUCGACCGGCGCACGGGUGAGUAACGCGUAUCCAACCUGCCUCUGACUGAGGGAUAACCCGUCGAAAGUCGGCCUAAUACCUCAUGGUAUCGUCUGCGGGCAUCCAACGACGAUUAAAGAUUUCAUCGGUCAGGGAUGGGGAUGCGUCUGAUUAGCUUGUUGGCGGGGUAACGGCCCACCAAGGCUACGAUCAGUAGGGGUUCUGAGAGGAAGGUCCCCCACAUUGGAACUGAGACACGGUCCAAACUCCUACGGGAGGCAGCAGUGAGGAAUAUUGGUCAAUGGGCGAGAGCCUGAACCAGCCAAGUAGCGUGCAGGAAGACGGCCCUAUGGGUUGUAAACUGCUUUUAUGCGGGGAUAAAGUGAGGGACGUGUCCCUCAUUGCAGGUACCGCAUGAAUAAGGACCGGCUAAUUCCGUG
rnacentral:rRNA from 1 species